UUCUAUAAAUGUCCCUAGACUACCCGGGCAUGCAAGGGCUCUGAGAGGGGCAAAUCGAUCAGCACCGCUCGUUCUACCUGCGCCAGUAAGUUUGCUUCCCCGCUUUUCAUCUCAGCUGUUCAAUACGGUAAUUUUUCUUUCACCAGUUGCUUCAGGUUCUUGGUGUAUGACAACUGGGCCAGAGCGCGUGCGGGACCUUCGGGCAGAGAUAGCGGACGCAGCUCGUUCCCGUCGAUCUUCUCCUAUCUAUGUGAUGCACCGGUGAAAACCUAGCAUCGUGGGGCGCCCCAAUCCCCCGUCUCGUCUCCUCUCCAAUCCCCUCGCCUCACGCCGCGCCUCCAAUCCCCCGCGUCGUCCCCUCCCCAAUCGCCGCCUCGCCUCCUCCCCGAAUCCGCGCCUACUCUCCUCCUCCCCCAACCUAAUGGCGGCAGCAGGUCGGCGAACGUGGUCAGUGGAUGGAGGAGGAUCUUGUGGAGGCGAGCAGCCGCAUAUUGGCUUUUUUUCGCGGCCGUGGCGGCACACAUGGAGGAACAAUGCCCGCUCCUCGUCCUUGCCGCAUAGGAGGUUGGGGAGGACCAGGAGAAGGCACGCGGGGCUGGGCUGGCCUGGUUCGUCGCGGGCGCGGGGAGACCGGCGGCGGCCAGGGCCCGUCAACGAGCGCCUCCACAGGAGGAAAAGAAGAAGAGGAGGUGGCGCUGCCGCCACGAUCGACCACGAGCCACCACCGCCGUCGGGCCUCUCCCCCUCAACCCACCCAUCGCCGGAGGUGGAGGAGCGGCAAGGGGUGGCGCUGGGACGGAGGAGGAGGAGCACGGAUUUGGCGCCGACGAGCUUCUCCACGAAUCGGUCCAUGCGUGAGAUGGCGAGGGCGUAUGUGUGAUGGCGCUGCUCUGUGAGAUCCAUGGACGUGAGAUGCGAAGGAGGCCAGAGGAUUUCCAUGGCUAGGAAGCUGGAUAAAAUCCCCAAGCUGAACUCCCCGGUUCUUUGAUUUGAUUUCAUUUGAGAAGUGGAGCAGCACCACUCACCAUUCCCAGACAUGCCAAAGAGAAACAUGCGACCAAAUGAGGCCACCCUGGCUGCAGGUGGUUGGAUGAUGGCAACGUUCGCAUAGCGCGUGCCGAGCAACGGUAGUGAGCGUGCGUCGAGCGAUGGUUGCGGCUGGCCACAUAUGCUGCGGGGCGUAUGUGUGAUGGCGUAUGUGUUAUAUGGGUUUCAAUGUCCAGAAGAUUCUUACACGGUCGCCAUUGGCGUUCAUGGUGCUCAUGGAUGGUGCAACCCUGCUCCUUGCCAUGCCUAGGAGAGGGUGUUGACAAGUUGAGCCCUCAAUUGUUGGAUGUUACUACCAAAAUUGAUCCAUGCAGAGCACCACCUGCAGGUGUUUUCUUAUAUAAUGACCCACAAGUACUUCUUAGGCAGUAUGAUCUAUGAGCUGGAUGGAAAAUCUGAUAUCUGUUGAGAAGUUGUGAUAUUUCCAAGAUGAGUGAAGACUUGGAUAAACGGGAUGUUUUAAUUCUUUUUACUGAGAGAGAUAGAGGCUAAGAAUAGCACUGUUGCAUAUAUUAUUGUUUAUAUUCUGGUCUAAGAAUAGCACAUCUUCAUUAACAAUUCUCCAUCUGCACAUCUUCACUAAGCCAUUUUGCCGCUGAAGCUCAGCUAGACCAACAUGUAUCUUCAGUCAGGUGCCCAAAUCAAUAGCUGCAUUUUUUUAUUUGCUAAAUUUGGCGUCCUUUAAUAUCUGAAUGUACAUGAUCACUUUGGAUUCUUGUCAUUUUGGUUGUACCAACGAAAAUUUUGGUUUAAAGAUGAUGAGUUUCAGAAUGUGGUUAGUUCGGAGUAUUGUGCCACUGUUAUUUUCUCUCUUUGUAGUUGAAUAAUUAGCAGGACUCCAUAGACCCCUUCUUAGCUCUAUAUGCAUUAUUGUUCUUUAGUUUUAGCUGUGUUGAUUACACCAUUUUUGUUUUCUGUCCCAUUGCAGCUAAAUGAUUAGCAAGACCGUUUGGACUGAAUAAUGUUCCACGUGAGAGAAAUAGCAUGCUGAUAUUAUCCUGAAAUAAUAGCAUAGGGAGGGGACGAGUGCUAUGUGUGUGUUCAAUUUUCAUGACUAUGAAACUCCGCUCAUCCUUUCUUUGAUUCUGCACUUUGAUACUUGGUUUCUUUGAUUCUGCACUUCGAUAAUUGGUUUCUUGAUUUAAACUCAGUAUGUUUUAAGCUAUGCUUCCUCUGCUCAUUACUUCUGAUACUUGGAUACUUUGAUUCUGCACUUUGAUGCUUGGUUUCUUUGAUUCAUCCUUGCAUAGAAUUGCCUUUAUGGAGCUAUUGGCUAUUCGGUUCAUUUGGCCUAUUUGAAUCAUUUUCCCAGUUUUUUUCUCUUUUAUUUCGGAGCAGCCAAUUGACUAAAAUAGCGCGUUACUUUGAGUUGACUGAAAUCAAUGACAAUUUGAGACAUCAAGAAUAAUUUCAAAAUCAAGCUAGGUCCAAGGAUGGACAAUUUCAUAGCUGAUGGUUUAAUUGUACAAAUUGGUGUUUCUCCAUGGAUUUUUCUUGUUCAUACUUCUGUACAUUGUUAAUUGGCGGUCGGUGUAGAAUUACUGAUGCAAAAGGAGAGAAUCAUUUGAUUUUAGUGGCCGAUACGGAAUUACAGGAAUAAAACGGCAUAUCUAAAUGCAGAUUUUCCAGUGUCUUCAUCUAGACCCUGUGUCUUUAUAGUGUACCUUUAAUUCAAUAUAAUGCUAGAGAACUUUAAGGCCCGCACAUUCAAAUGGGACUCUAGAAAAUAGCCCAGAAUCUUAAAGUUAGUCUACUCAACCGUUAUUGCUGAGCAAAGAAUGUACAAUAGCUUAAACGAUCUCACUACAAAAAACUGAAGUGACCUACGACAUACGCUUCCUAUAACUGUUCUUAUUUUGCAAUUACACUAUAUCUGGUAUUUGAUCAGCACCAUGCCAGUGAUUUAAAUCCUUUUCAUAUGCACGGUAGGUCAUAUAGCUCAGUUAUAAUUUUUUGCAGAUUUUUUUGUCAUUUUAUUUUUCUAUAUAUAUAUAUUCAUCGUAAGAUAGCAAAGAGAAAUAUCAGCUCAAAAUAGAUUUAUUGUUUUGAUGUGCUGAUGGUAGAUUUUGUUUUACAGCUGCAGUACAUGCCGUAGAACAAUAAUGGAUAUGGUGAGUUACUGCAGCAUUGAGUCAGAGGUGAUUGAGAGGUGUUUGAGUGGUCUCUGAUAGUAUAAACAUUAGUUACUAACCUAUCAAAAAAUACGCCAAUACUUGUUUAUGCCCUGAUAUUGGUGAUUGAGAGGUACUACUCACUGCCUCGAUCAACGUGCCAUCCUUACUACAUCGUCGGGUCAACGAAAUAGGCCCACUGCCUUAACGCCUCUUGUUGUUCCCUAUGGGUUCUAUGCUAUGCUGUCAAGCUGUGGUGCCGCGCUUCCAGCAUGCCACUGAACUAUGCUCCUUCGUAUGGUAUGUAGAUCAUGUGCUAGCUACCUACAUGCUUAUGUCAGUGCUUUUCUAUGUAACUGUAAGCACAUGCUGAUCAAGAAACAAGCUUUUGUAAGUAGAUCCUGCCUCCUCACAGAGGGAAAACCUAUGAUCAUGUAAGACCAAACUAUGGGCUAGAACUUAUUUGCUCCUAUGCAAGUUACAAACUAUUGAACUCUGUCUGCUUUUGGACAUGCCAUGAGCUGCUUCCCAAACACACAUGUUUCUACAGACGUGCUUUGUAGAGUAAGUGCAAUAGGUGAAAGCUAGAGGAUGUUCCUGUACCAUCAGUUCAUAGGAUGUUUUUUUGUUACAUUUAUCUGCGUUCAACGAUGGUUAUUAUGGACGCUGCGCCAGCCAUUCAGAUUGAUGUUUGUUGUCUAGAAGCUCAUAUGGGUAAUAAUAGUAGUAUUAGAUUGAUGCAUACGAAUUCCACCUGUUAUAUUAUGGAAUAUACCUAUGGUGAUGUAUUAAAAUAACACACUUCUUAAUCGAUUAAAACUUAUAGUUAUAGUAUUAUCUCAGCUUUUGCCUCUGCAUCAGACCGAGUCAUAGGACAGUGCCGUUGAACAUUAGGUAAAUUUUCAUGAGGAUUGCUCUUAUUUCCAUUAUUGUCUUGGAACUUCAUAUUGUGGUCCUCACUUUUUCAUUGGUCUGGAGACCAAAAUUAUUUCCCCGUAGUCAUUUAUUCUUUGCCUCUUCUCAAGAAAAUAAACUCUUUAAUAGAUUACCAACUUAUGGUUACAGUUCCGUCUCGCUUUGCCUGUGCGCCGGGGCGCACCGGGU